rnacentral:rRNA from 1 species
AGUGAACGCUGGCGGUAGGCCUAACACAUGCAAGUCGAACGGCAGCACAGUAAGAGCUUGCUCUUAUGGGUGGCGAGUGGCGGACGGGUGAGGAAUACAUCGGAAUCUACUCUUUCGUGGGGGAUAACGUAGGGAAACUUACGCUAAUACCGCAUAUGACCUACGGGUGAAAGCAGGGGAUCUUCGGACCUUGCGCGAUUGAAUGAGCCGAUGUUGGAUUAGCUAGUUGGCGGGGUAAAGGCCCACCAAGGCGACGAUCCGUAGCCGGUCUGAGUGGAUGGUCAGCCGCACUGGAACUGGGACACGGUCCAGACUCCUACGGGAGGCAGCAGUGGGGAAUAUUAGACAAUGGGCGCGAGCCUGAUCCAGCCAUACCGCGUGGGUGAAGAAGGCCUUCGGGUUGUAAAGACCUUUUGUUGGGAAAGAAAAGCAGCAGGUUAAUACCCCGCUGUUCUGACGGUACCCAAAGAAUAAGCACCGGCUAACUUCGUG